GCGGCGUGCCUAAUACAUGCAAGUAGAACGCUGAAGAGAGGAGCUUGCUCUUCUUGGAUGAGUUGCGAACGGGUGAGUAACGCGUAGGUAACCUGCCUUGUAGCGGGGGAUAACUAUUGGAAACGAUAGCUAAUACCGCAUAACAAUGGAUGACACAUGUCAUUUAUUUGAAAGGGGCAAUUGCUCCACUACAAGAUGGACCUGCGUUGUAUUAGCUAGUAGGUGAGGUAAUGGCUCACCUAGGCGACGAUACAUAGCCGACCUGAGAGGGUGAUCGGCCACACUGGGACUGAGACACGGCCCAGACUCCUACGGGAGGCAGCAGUAGGGAAUCUUCGGCAAUGGGGGCAACCCUGACCGAGCAACGCCGCGUGAGUGAAGAAGGUUUUCGGAUCGUAAAGCUCUGUUGUAAGUCAAGAACGGGUGUGAGAGUGGAAAGUUCACACUGUGACGGUAGCUUACCAGAAAGGGACGGCUAACUACGUGCCAGCAGCCGCGGUAAUACGUAGGUCCCGAGCGUUGUCCGGAUUUAUUGGGCGUAAAGCGAGCGCAGGCGGUUUGAUAAGUCUGAAGUUAAAGGCUGUGGCUCAACCAUAGUUCGCUUUGGAAACUGUCAAACUUGAGUGCAGAAGGGGAGAGUGGAAUUCCAUGUGUAGCGGUGAAAUGCGUAGAUAUAUGGAGGAACACCGGUGGCGAAAGCGGCUCUCUGGUCUGUAACUGACGCUGAGGCUCGAAAGCGUGGGGAGCGAACAGGAUUAGAUACCCUGGUAGUCCACGCCGUAAACGAUGAGUGCUAGGUGUUGGAUCCUUUCCGGGAUUCAGUGCCGCAGCUAACGCAUUAAGCACUCCGCCUGGGGAGUACGACCGCAAGGUUGAAACUCAAAGGAAUUGACGGGGGCCCGCACAAGCGGUGGAGCAUGUGGUUUAAUUCGAAGCAACGCGAAGAACCUUACCAGGUCUUGACAUCCCGAUGCUAUUUCUAGAGAUAGAAAGUUACUUCGGUACAUCGGUGACAGGUGGUGCAUGGUUGUCGUCAGCUCGUGUCGUGAGAUGUUGGGUUAAGUCCCGCAACGAGCGCAACCCCUAUUGUUAGUUGCCAUCAUUCAGUUGGGCACUCUAGCGAGACUGCCGGUAAUAAACCGGAGGAAGGUGGGGAUGACGUCAAAUCAUCAUGCCCCUUAUGACCUGGGCUACACACGUGCUACAAUGGUUGGUACAACGAGUUGCGAGUCGGUGACGGCGAGCUAAUCUCUUAAAGCCAAUCUCAGUUCGGAUUGUAGGCUGCAACUCGCCUACAUGAAGUCGGAAUCGCUAGUAAUCGCGGAUCAGCACGCCGCGGUGAAUACGUUCCCGGGCCUUGUACACACCGCCCGUCACACCACGAGAGUUUGUAACACCCGAAGUCGGUGAGGUAACCUUUUGGAGCCAGCCGCCUAAGGUGGGACAG
rnacentral:rRNA from 1 species